ACCCUCGCAGGGUCGCACCUGGAGAGUUUCCAGUAGUCUACCAGUCUUGAUGAUGGGAGGGAAAGUCAAGCAGAGGCCUUCCCACUCCAUUUCUAGCUUGGGCAGUGGCUAGCCAGUGGAAAGCAAUCUGCUAUAAGU
rnacentral:snoRNA from 1 species